rnacentral:rRNA from 1 species
AUGGCAAAGUUCUGGUGGGGGAGUUCGGUUGAUAGGCGUUCUUUGCACUGGAUCGCCUGGGACAAACUUGCUACACCUAAGAUUAAAGGAGGGAUGGGCUUUCGUGAUCUCCGACAAUUCAAUCUAGCGCUCCUCGGGAAGCAUGGCUGGAGGUUCAUGACAAAGCCAGAUGCUCUUUGUACAGGAGUCAUGAAAGGAAGAUACUUUCCUAACUGUGAUUUUAUGCAGGCAACAACACCCAAAUCAUCAUCUGCCACAUGGAGGGCCAUAGUUGCUGGCCAGGAAGCUCUCAAUAAUGGCCUGCUAAAACGCAUCGGUGACGGUGCAUCUACCUCUGUUUGGGAGGACCGAUGGAUCCCGUUGUUGGAAAUAAGCCCUAGAGGCAAUAAUAAAAUGAUUAUUAUUAUAUUUCCUUGUUCAUGGUAA